CCAAUAGCGUAUAUUAAAGUUGUUGCAGUUAAAAAGCUCGUAGUUGAAUUUCGGGAUCAAUAUGUCGGUCGUGCCUCGGUACGUACUGGCGUAAUUGGUUUCUCCCUUCUGAAGAACCUCGAUGUCAUUAAUUUGGUGUCUUGGGGAAUCAGGACUGUUACUUUGAAAAAAUUAGAGUGUUUAAAGCAGGCUCGCGCUUGAAUACAUUAGCAUGGAAUAAUGAAAUAGGACGUUUGAUUCUAUUUUGUUGGUUUCUAGGAUCGACGUAAUGAUUAAUAGGGAUAGUUGGGGGCAUUAGUAUUCAAUUGUCAGAGGUGAAAUUCUUGGAUUUAUUGAAGACUAACUACUGCGAAAGCAUUUGCCAAGGAUGUUUUCAUUAAUCAAGAACGAAAGUUAGGGGAUCGAAGACGAUCAGAUACCGUCGUAGUCUUAACCAUAAACUAUGCCGACUAGGGAUCGGAUGAUGUUGAUUUUUUAAUGACUCAUUCGGCGCCUUACG
rnacentral:rRNA from 1 species